AUUCCAGCUCCAAUAGCGUAUACUAAAGUUGUUGCAGUUAAAAAGCUCGUAGUUGAAUUUCUGGUCGUGGCGACCGGUCCGCCCCUCACGGGGUGUGCACCUGGUCUCUACGUCCAUCCUCGGGGAGAGCGCGUCUGGCAUUCAGUUGUCGGGCGCGGGAUCCUCGUCAUUUACUGUGAGCAAAAUAGAGUGUUCAAAGCAGGCUUAGGCCGUUGAAUACAUUAGCAUGGAAUAAUAAGAUAGGACCUUGGUCUAUUUUGUUGGUUUGCAUUCCAAGGUAAUGAUUAAUAGGGAUAGUUGGGGGUAUUCGUAUUCAAUUGUCAGAGGUGAAAUUCUUGGAUUUAUGGAAGACGAACUACUGCGAAAGCAUUUACCAAGGAUGUUUUCAUCG
rnacentral:rRNA from 1 species